GUGAGGGAUAUUGCACAAUGGGCGCAAGCCUGAUGCAGCGACGCCGCGUGGGUGAAGAAGGCCUUCGGGUCGUAAAGCCCUUUUCUGCGUGACGAGGAAGGACGGUAGCGCAGGAAGAAGUCUCGGCUAACUACGUGCCAGCAGCCGCGGUAAAACGUAGGAGGCAAGCGUUAUCCGGAGUUACUGGGCGUAAAGCGCGAGUAGGCGGAUUGACAAGUCAGUUGUGAAAGCUCCCGGCUAAACUGGGAGAGGUCGACUGAUACUGUUAGUCUGGAGUACGGGAGAGGGGUGUGGAAUUCCGGGUGUAGUGGUGAAAUGCGUAGAUAUCCGGAGGAACACCAGUGGCGAAGGCGGCACCCUGGCCCGAGACUGACGCUAAGACGCGAAAGCAUGGGUAGCGAACGGGAUUAGAAACCCGUGUAGUCC
rnacentral:rRNA from 1 species